UACAUGGGGUGCAAACGUUGCUCGGAAUUAUUGGGCGUAAAGCGCACGUAGGCGGUUCGUUAAGUCGGAUGUGAAAGCCCUCGGCUCAACUGAGGAAGUGCACCCGAAACUGGCGAGCUUGAGUACGAAAGAGGAUCGCGGAAUUCCCGGUGUAGAGGUGAAAUUCGUAGAUAUCGGGAGGAACACCAAUAGCGAAGGCAGCUCGCUGGGACGUUACUGACACUGAGGCGCGAAAGCGUGGGGAGCGAACAGG
rnacentral:rRNA from 1 species